GCCUGAUGCAGCCAUGCCGCGUGUGUGAUGACGGCCUUAGGGUUGUAAAGCACUUUCAGCAGGGAAGAUAAUGACAUUAACUGCAGAAGAAGCCCCGGCUAACUUCGUGCCAGCAGCCGCGGUAAUA
rnacentral:rRNA from 1 species